CUUGAAGAGAUAUGACCCGGGGCUGGAGAGAUGGCUCAGAGAUUAAGAACACUGGAUGCUCUUUCAGAGAUCCUGAGUUCAAUUCCCAGCAACCACAUGG
rnacentral:miRNA from 1 species